ensembl:lncRNA
UGUACCCUCCCACUGAAUGUGUGUGUGUAUGUGUACACGUGCAUGCAGAUGUCUGUGAUCUGUGACACUGGCAGGGAAGCAAGAUUUCAGCAUACAUGAAGCUCUGAGGGCUUCUUGGGGAAGAUCCACAAGUCACGAAGCAGAUCUCUUUGACCCAGACUGAAACACCAGAGAAAGAGAGAGACCAACUCAAAGAAAGACCUACCGCAGGGGACACAGGUUAACUGUGGUGUAGUGAAUAAGAAUCCGCAUGCCAGUGCAGGGGACACAGGUUCAAUCCCUGGUCCAGGAAGAUCCCACAUGCCCAUGUGCCACAACUAUCGACAGCCCACGAGCCUCAACUAUUAAGCCCGUGCAUCCCAGCUACUGAAGCCUGUGAGCCUAGAGCCUGUCCACAACGAGAAGCCACGGUAAUGAGAAGCCCACACGCAGCAACUAGAGCAGCCCCUGCCCACCACUAGAGAAAGCCUGCGUGCAGUGAUGAAGACCCAGCACAAC